rnacentral:lncRNA from 1 species
GAGGAACAGGAGGGGGGGGGAACAAAACAAAACAAAACACAACCCUUAAAUCACAGCUGGAUUAAUCCGACUUUGAAUUAUUUCUUUUACUUUUGCUAUUUCACCUGGGUGAGCUGUUACUGCAGCGAUUUGCCUGUUCUGGGAUGUGGAGGAUUUCUUUUUCUCUUCUUUUUCUGUUUUUUUUUUUUUUUCCUUCCCCCUCCCCCCCCCUUCUUCUUCCUCUUUAUUUUUAAACAUGUUCUCUCCCCCCUCCCUUUUUCUUUUCUAUUUUAUCUUUUUCUAUUUUUCUUUUUCAUUUAUGCUUUCCUCCUCUCCUCUCCUCUCCUCUCCUCUCCUCUCCCAAAUCCUUUUCCUUUUCACCCCUCCCUUUUCUUUUUCUUUCUCUCUCUCUCCUCUCCUCUCCUCUCCUCUCCACAUCCUUUUCCUUUUCACCCCUCCCUUUUCUUUUUCUUUCUCUCUCUCCCCUCUCCUUCCCCAAUUUCUUUAGCUUUCCCUCCCUUUUUAGAGACAAAACCAGACGAGUGCUGCUAUGCCUAUUUUUCCAGCCCAGCAGCUCUCGGUGCUGAGCAUCACUGGAGCCGCCCAAGCGGAGCCGAAGCGCUGCGGGAGAUCCCGGCGCACCGCUCCCCUCCCGACCCGACCCGGCCCGGCCCGGUGGCGCCGAUCGAGCCCCGUUUCGGCCCCGGCCCUUCUGGCAGUGAACUUGGUCUGAAGCGAGCUCUGCUGGCUGCUUGGGGACGUUACAGGCGAGAUGCUCUUUCCCAACCCUCCCGGCCGGCUCCUUUUUCCCCCCCUCUCCGUUCCCCAGAGCCCCGAUUUCCAACCCGAGCUCUCACGGAGCCUCCCUGCAUAAACACAUCUCCGAUUUGCCACCAAGCAAACGUCCCUUUCCAGAAUCCUAAUGCAGUAAUUUGUUUUGACUUGAAGGGUAUAUAUGUAUGUGUAUAUAUAUAUACAUACACACACAUGCACAUGUUAAAAAGAGAUAAAUCAAAGGGAAAAACCCCUCGAACUAGUCUUAUUCUUUCAACGCUCGCUGUCAAAAUAGUUUCUUUUGAAAGCUAUUUAGGGUAA